rnacentral:rRNA from 1 species
AUUGAACGCUGGCGGCAGGCCUAACACAUGCAAGUCGAGCGAGCGGCGGACGGGUGAGUAAUGUCUGGGAAACUGCCUGAUGGAGGGGGAUAACUACUGGAAACGGUAGCUAAUACCCCAUACCAUCAGAUGUGCCCCGAUGGGGUUAGCUAGUAGGUGGGGUAAAGGCUCACCUAGGCGACGAUCCCUAGCUGGUCUGAGAGGAGGACCAGCCACACUGGAACUGAGACACGGUCCAGACUCCUACGGGAGGCAGCAGUGGGGAAUAUUGCACAAUGGGCGAAAGCCUGAUGCAGCCAUGCCGCGUGUGUGAAGAAGGCCUUCGGGUUGUAAAGCACUUUCAGCGGGGAGGCGUUACCCGCAGAAGAAGCACCGGCUAACUCCGUGCCAGCAGCCGCGGUAAUAC